UAAUGACUUCAUGACUACUGAGCUGCCAACUUUUGCAAAAACCUUGAAGUGAGAUUUUGUGGGGCGGGGGGCAACCCAUAUUUUGCCGCAU